UAGUAACAGCAUGAAACUCAAAUCUUCCCAGCUUUGUAAGAAACACUACAAUAGUGUUUAAUACAUGUACAGAGGAAUGUAUACAAGUCAGUGAUACAUGUCUGUGUCUAUUCUUCAGCCAUAACAUCAGUAUCCAAAAGCAGUGUUGGGGCUCUGUGACAGAACAUUUUAAUAAGAAGGCAGAGUUCCUUAGGGACCAGCAAACCCUCAACAAAAAGUGGGACAACUUUGUACAGGUUCAUAGGUCUCUGUUUGCAGAGCACCUUAUUAUGUCAAACAAAACAAGAGGUGGACCAAAACCUGCACAACUAUCAGUUUUGACUGAAGCAGUUGUUGAUGCUGUGGGGAGAAAAUCCCAAACAUUAUCAGGAGUUGCCCUGUCUGAAGACAUGGAUUCAUCCAUGCUCUUGAUAAAACAACCAAGUGUGUGAGGUCCUCAGCAACCUGGAAAGAGUGCAGUCCUCAGCAACCGGGAAAAGAGAGUCUGGGAGAUUCACCAGGAGGGAGUGAAACGUAUUGCCAUCCUAAAAUGAUGGAAACAUGUCACAAUAUAUGUCAUAUGCUGUGAAUGCAAAUGCCACAGGAAACUUGAUUCAUUGAAGGAAGAAAAACUAAAACUUCAAAUAAAAUACUACAAAAGGAAGCUUGUUGAAGAAUAAAUGGAAGAUAUUUGUUGGAUUCGGUGGAGUAUCGAUUUUAUUUCACGAGUGAUCAUAUAAAUGAUCUUUUCACGAGUGGCACAGCCACGAGUGAAAAUGUGUAUUUUUUAUGAUCACGAGUGAAAUAAAAUCAAUAUUUCAUCCAAUCCAACAAUUUUUUAUGCUUUUUUAGAUAUCUGUUGUUUUUUUACAUUGCAAGAGUUUAACUGGAUAAUUUCGCUGGAUUUAUACCGUAAUUUGGUAGAAAAAUAACGUCAAUUCACAGUACAACAGUGAAAAAUAUC